CAGAUUCGAGGUGCUGUGAGAUUACGUCGCGUUGCUCUGCCUCUUCCCGUUUGCUGUGCAAGUGUCAUUGUGAUGGCAGCAUCACCAGAUCACAGAUGUAUUUAGGUGUGGGCUGUGAGGACAACAGCCAAAUCCCAGACUUCCCUCUGUCUGCCCACCUCCUCCACCUCUUCUGGGGGAACACCAGGGCGUUCCCAAGCCAACAAAAAGAUUUAAUCUCUUUGGCAUGCCCCCAGCCUUCACCCUGGACUUCCACCUGGAUUCAAGCCCCAAGAGAAGUGGUUCAUUUGUCAACACCGUACGAAGAUCAUCAGUGUGCAAG